rnacentral:rRNA from 1 species
GAUGAACGCUGGCGGCGUGCCUAAUACAUGCAAGUCGAGCGAACGGACGAGAAGCUUGCUUCUCUGAUGUUAUCGGCGGACGGGUGAGUAACACGUGGAUAACCUACCUAUAAGACUGGGAUAACUUCGGGAAACCGGAGCUAAUACCGGAUAAUAUUUUGAACCGCAUGGUUCAAAAGUGAAAGACGGUCUUGCUGUCACUUAUAGAUGGAUCCGCGCUGCAUUAGUUAGUUGGUAAGGUAACUGCUUACCAAGGCAACGAUGCAUAGCCGACCUGAGAGGGUGAUUGGCCACACUGGAAGUGAGACACGGUCGACACUCCUACGGGAGGCAGCAGCAGGGAAUCCUACGCAAUGGGGGAAAGGCUGACGGAGCACAGUCGCGUGAGUGAUGAAGGUCUUCGGAUCGUAAAACGCUGUUAUUAGGGAAGAACAUAUGUGUAAGUAACUGUGAACAUCUUGACGGUACCUAAUCAGAAAGCCACGGCUAACUCCGUG